AGCUGAUAGGAACCGAAAACUUUAUUAGCGUAUUUCUGCCGGUAUAAUCGCAACUGCCAACGAUAGAACCUUGUCGUUGUUGUGAAUUUGGUGAGACCAUGAAAGGCGGAAAAAAAAACCGAUCCGGUUCACUGCUUGGCAAAGCGUAUGCCAGUCCAUUUCCGAUAAGAUCAACUGAGGCAAUGUGCUCAAGCGUAAAAAGGGCAUUUUUCUUCACAAUAAUCACAACGUCUUCCUGAUUGGGUGUACCUUAAUGAUAGCUAUUCUGCUUAUAGCUGCACAAUCGGGCCCCGUACAUAUAAUACGGUGACGAGUGGCUGUGAGAAGCUGUAAGAAGCACGUAAGACUGGUGCCAGAAGGAUGUUCUGCUGAGUUCCGGCCCCUUUUUCUAUUAGCUACGUUUUCCGCGACAGUUAACGAAAUGAUUAAUUCUGGUAUACUGUCUGCCAGGCGAGCGAUGUUACAAUGAGGUAAAGGUUCCAGGAAAAAAAACAAUGUUGUCACAUUUAAGCACACUUAUUUAUUUAAGUCUUAUAUCCCGCCUCAUGUCAAGGGUAAUACUGGGUUACAACCUUUACCUUUGAUUAGUCGACGAGUUGCUGUCUUUUGAAACUUUACAAUCUCUCACAAAAGCUGAAUUUAAUGGGCCUUACAAGAUUGGCGCGCAACUACCUGGAAAAGGCGCACUGCGGUUCGGAUAUCAAAGAUUAAUAAAUAGAGAUAGAACCGAUUCAUAGAGGGGA